GUAUAUUUAUUAUAAAUUUUAAUAUAAUUAUUUUGCAUAUAAUUGAUUUAUAUAUACG
rnacentral:tRNA from 1 species